UGUGAAAAGGAAACUGGCAGGAAAACAAGCCACAGUGGAAGCUGGGGAUGAACUGUUAAGGGGCGGAUUUUGGAGCACUGACUGGUGAAAAGGAAGAUGCUGCUGACAGAAAGAAAAAAUGUGGUCCUGAUGAGCACAUUGCAGAAGGUUGAAGACAAGAAAGCGUCUGAGACCGGCACACCAUGCCACAAAUGUAGAAAAUAUGUCUGCGUGUCACACACAGCACAGAAACAAAAUAAAAUGUGUGCACUGGCUGAACAGACAUCCGAAGGAGUUUAUAAAUCCAGCCAUCUAGCCACAUGUGCUCUAAAUAAAGGUUUAAUGCGCAAAGUGACACAUUACAGGAAUCAUUUUUUGUUAAGUUUUGCUUUGAUCCAUCUGUGUAGCGUUAUAUCGAUAUACUUACUAAACUCUAUCAGUGGGCUAAAAUAAAUCAAACCUAAAUGAUUUGUAUGUGCCCUGAGAUUGAUUGGCAAAAUGUUUGUUGCCCUGUAUCCUGUGCUAUGAGCCACUAGGGCCUGGCUCAUGGUGACCGCUGUUAUGGAAGAUGAAUGGAUUGAUAGACUGUGUUUGUAAAUUAGGUACCAUAUGAAUUUUGCUAGGGGUGAGAGUAAAAUAUUUAUUAUAACCACUGUAAGGUGAUUUAGCCACUGGGUCAAAAUUAACCUGCCAGUGUAACAGAUGUAAAUAUUAUUUCUGAACAUAAUAGACAAAUUAAGAUAACUUUGAAGUUUAACACCUGGAGGAUAGAUUUGUAUUUAAUGUUUCCUUUUUCAU